ensembl:lncRNA
GAACAGCUUGGUUUCACACUUGGCCGUUAUCCAUUGACUCCGUUUACCUAAUCAGCGCGCCGGUUAAUGAGCACAGACGACAUUGUGGUCCCUCAACACAACAUUAAUUCAAAUCCUCUUUCGCUCGGCUUUAAUGGGGAAACCGUAACAGGACGUGUCAGCAAACCGAGGGAUUGAGCGAGGAGGCGACCUGGGAGGAGGAGGAGGCGAAUCGGUCCAAAGGGUGACAGAGCAGUCUGAGAAAAGGACGCGACAGCAAGAGCAAGACGGUCAAAGGAGUGGCAGAAUGCCGGGGAGGAGAGGACUGGGACGGGAUCGGACGGGACGCGGAGGACAGGAGUCAUCGCUAUGGUAACGGAGAGCGGUGGCGAGGGCCGAGCGGCGCUGACUCACUGUGAUGCGCUUUCAGUGAGACAUGGAAUGUCACGGUGCACCCCGGGGAGAGGGUCAUCACUCCAAGGGACACUGCGACAUGGGACACCUUCUCUACUCCAUGCGCCACCGUCGCCAUCUGAGGCAGGACAGGACGACGAGGCGGUCCAUUGUCAUUGGAAGUGUCCAAACACAUUCGAUGACACCUGCCUUUUAUUUUGAAAAUACCUUUUCAAUCUGCAGAUCCUUAAAAAUGUAAGGGACCAGUGGCUGUCACCAGAGGCUCGGUCUGAGACACUGUUGCCGUGGUAACAACUUUUCCGAUUUGAUGACAGGCAUGAAAGGCAUGUUAAGAGAUUGAAUGUUUCUGCAAGGGCGCACACACACACACACACACACACACACACACACACGUAACUUCCCCCCUGGAGAGAUUGGUGUGUGUGUUUGUGGUAGUCUCUUUUUAUUACUUCAUCUUUGUAAGGUUCUAGAAUGAUGUUAUUUAGUAGACGUUCGUUUAGAGUCCACUUGAGAUUACGAGCGGAAUGACGCUCACCAUUAAUCUGUAUUGUGAAGCUGUAUUGUAAUAAACAUAUACCAUCAUUUCACAGCAUGCAAUGUAUGUGUCAUCAAUCUCUGUGAUCAUGUGCAUCACUUGUCAUCUACGCUGAAAUCAGAUCAAUGAAUUUUGACAUGCCGUUGAUAAUUAUUCACUCUGAGAGCUGAGCAUUUGCAUUUCAGAGUGCUUUUGUGUGGCUCACCAUACUGAACUGAUUGCAUUUUCAUAACAAUGGAAGGAUGAAAAUAGAAAGAAUGAGACAAUAAAUGAUGUCUUGCAAGCGUGGAUUCAUGUAAUAAAUCUGCAGCUUGCAGGAUUUUUACUCUCUGCUGUG